rnacentral:rRNA from 1 species
UACGAAGGGGGCUAGCGUUGCUCGGAAUCACUGGGCGUAAAGCGCACGUAGGCGGCUUUCUAAGUCGGUGGUGAAAUCCUGGAGCUCAACUCCAGAACUGCCUCCGGUACUGGAAGGCUCGAGUCCGGGAGAGGUGAGUGGAACUGCGAGUGUAGAGGUGAAAUUCGUAGAUAUUCGCAAGAACACCAGUGGCGAAGGCGGCUCACUGGCCCGGUACUGACGCUGAGGUGCGAAAGCGUGGGGAGCAAACAGG